GCGGGAGGAGUGCCGUCCCUGUUGCUCAGAAACAACGCAGGCUUGUUUCCCCAUCUUUCAGACUAUUUCAGUUUGUGACCUGGGCGGGGAUCUCUGUUAUGGCUGCUGCUGAGUUUCAAACAAUAAUUCUUCAGCUCGCCCAAGGCUAUGAUGAUACAGGACAUGAUGAUGUGGAUGACGAGCUUGUGAAUUUGUGACUGAAGUCCUUCUGCACCAAGUUUAAGAAACAUACUAUAGAACCGUCUAAAGAAACUAGGCAAACGCGCGGUGUACAGCAAGUUGAUUUUCCACAUGAUCCGACAUUUCAUCAAAGCGCUUUGAUGCUGUUGAGUUGCUCGAGGGUGGCUUCGUAUGCGCUCUGAUUCAUGGCGGCAGAAACUACAGGCAGAAAGUUUCUGCAACCGAUGGCGCCACUUCAAUGGCAAAGGAACUGGGAGGAGGUUUGCACGACGCCCUUGGGCUGUAAUAGCGGCUGCCAACUUCAUCAAACCAGAAGCACUUCAAGAUCAUCUUCCCCCACAACGUAGUGGGGGGAAGGAAGGCCGCUAAUGACACCGUGUUCCAAGGGUUAUCAAAAGAUUUCCCGAGUCUGCAGUAUUUCGUUUUUGCUCCAGUGAUCCAGGGUUACCACUGACCCUUUGAGGGAGAACAUUCCAAAUUUCUUCCCCUCUUUCCAUGAUACAAUUUUUUCUCUGUUCCCUCGUGGUUUUUAGCAAUACCCACUUGUUCCAAGUCAGAGGAAAUCAUUUCCUUGUAUCUUUUCAUGAUCAGGAACACCUCAAUUGAAUAAUUUGUUCUUUAAAAAAUCCACACAAGAGAAUGAGAAGCAAGCUCAUUCAUUUGGCAAAGAUUUCAAUGCACAUAAAUCUCAAGGAAUACAGUCACUCGUGAUCAUGAUGGCCAGAGAUACUAAUCGAACUGGUUACCAUAUUGUGCACAUGAUACUCCUAAUUAGGUCUCCCCAAUGCCUUAUACAACUUUGCCAUAGACAGUCCCAAGCCCAGCUCGGAAAGGAGAAAGGUGUGCACGGGUUUAGCAACCCCAUCCCAAAGAACCCAGAGCGACGGAAACACCAAAGACCUCAUCCCCGAGAGAGGAAGGAUCUUCGACCAGAGGAAGUCAGGUGGUGAAAGCGGAAGCCAGAGGGCCAGUUAAUUUUCAGAGGACUGGGGAGCUCCUCUUGGAUGCCCAAGUAAAGGGGAGGUGGGAUUGGAAGAGUAAGAGUGGCUUAUACAACUUCAAUAUAACUCCUGUACUCAGUAGUUUGAUUUAUGAAGGACAACGUACUAAAAGCUCUCGUUAUCUGCCUGUGACAUUGAUUGGAUCUGUAUUCCCAGAUCCCUCUGUUUUCCCACAUUCCGCAGUGCCCAACCAUUCACUGUGUAACUCCUCCCCUGGUUUGUUCUCCAAAAGUGUUACGCCUCGCACUUGUCUGCACUUAAUUCCAGCCGCUGUUUUUCUGGCUGGUCCAGGUCUCUCUGCGAGCUUCGUUAGCCUUCCUCAUACGGUCCACUUAUGCCCCCCAAUCUUGGUGUCAUCCAUAAAUCUGCUGAUCCAGUUGAUCACAUCAUCAUCCAAAUCGUUGACAUAGAUGACAAGGAACAAUGGAUCCAGCACUGAUCCCUGCAGCACAUGAGAGCUUCCUGCCUCUAGAAGAACCAAGUGUUUAAAGGAUGCUUCCUGGGAUCAUUGGAGGAAGGGCCAAUUGCGUCACAAGAUGGAGGGGUUGGAGCGGAGCCCUCCUGUCAUCUUAGACCAGUUAACCAUGGUUGAGUAGGAAACAUUCUCACCUUGAAUUAGAUGAUGGUGUUCGCUCCACUGCUCUGAACUGAGUGUCCAGAUGGAGCGGAAGGAAGCCCCACUUGCUUUAAGAUGAGAUAUUAAACUCUGGUACCAUCUGCCCUGUCAGGCUGGUGCAAGUUAAUCCGAGAGACUAAAGGAUAGAGGGAAUGAGUUCUCUCUGGUGAUUGGGCCCAGCCAACAUCAACAAAAUAGAUCACAUUGCUGUUUGGGGUAGCCGGCAGAGUCACUACCCCAUAGGGGUUAAUCCUGACCUCAGGUACCCUUUAGAGCGGUGUGUGUACCUUCACGCCAAUGGGCACACUGCUUUCCUGCCACAUCCUAAAGGUGACGGGUGGGUAGGUUAAUUGGCCACUAUAAACUGUCCUAGUGUGUGGGUGAGCGGGUACAAUCUGGGGGGAGUUGAAUUAAAAUAAUGGGAUUUGUGUAAAUGGGUGGUGGAUAUUAGCGUAGACUUGAUGGGCUGAAUGGCCUCUUUCUCACUCUCAGAAUCUAUGAGCAGGUUUGCUGCUGAGAGCUUUGUGAUGCCCUGAGUUUGUUCAGUUGAAUUCACUUCAUUACUUACAUGUGAAAUACCUUAUAGAAAUGUUUUCAUUCCAUCAAUGCUAACUUCCUCAACCUGUGUUCCUGUCCCAGACCCGUGCUCACAGUUUCCUUUAAAAUUCUUGGGUCACACACGUCUGAGCAAUUGCUGUUGUGAUCAGGAGCUUUGGCUGAAGUGUAAGUGUGAUACCUGUUCUGCUCAUCCCUGUAACAUGCUUGGUGUUUAUUUCAUCUGUCGUGACUCUUACUUAAGGCAACAGCUGAUGUUUUCAGUAUUGAGUAGUUUGCAGUGACUAGCCUGCAGAAACAAUGAUCUGUCCACGUUUGGGGAGCCUUCAGUUCCCCCUGGAGCCAGGAGGUGGAGCCGCCACUUUGCAGUAAGCCGUGCGGGACAACGUCGGACAAAGCAGCAGGUGAAAUCCGGGACCUUCCACCACACACGGCAUCGUGGCACACUGUGCAGCAAACUUACCCCCUAUGAACGGAGGCUUCCCUCGAGAGUUAAUUUUAUGACCUCAGAUCAAUAGUGGAGGUAGAUUUCAGAAUUACACUGCCCUCACUGAGUAUAUUUAAAGUUGAUGGGUUUUUGAUGAUUGAGGAUGUCAAAGGCAAGAGGCUGGAGUUGGGAGGGAUAAUAAAUCAGCCAUUAUGGAAUGGUAGAAUGUAUUCGAUGGGCUGAAUGCGUUGUGAUCUAUUGGUUACUGUCACAUAUUUCGUCUUCAUUUGCAUCAUGACUUGUAAACCGAAUCCUGUUGGUCCAUCACCGUUUACUCACUAACCUACUGAUUAAAUACUACUCAGCCUCAUUUGCAGAUCUCAAUUGCUUUGACUCAACCUUGCUAAUCUUCUGCAAUCCCACAACUCUACAAUGUUAUCUCGGCUCUAUCCUUAAGCAACAUCCACAAAAUGCUGGAGGAACUCAGCAGGUCAGGCAACAGCUACAGAGGAAAAUUAACAGCUGAUGCUUUGGGCUGAAACCCU